CCCUUGUAACUGAAUCCCCAGCUGUCCUUCAGGAGCCGAGCCCGCCUCCAGAGUGACCUUCCUCAGCGGACACGCCCCGUCCACCUGUUCCACAGGUGCGCCCGGCAAGAUGGCGGCGGGACGAGUUUCUGCGGCGUUAGGUGACAAAAGGAUUUAAAGAAGGGGCCUCCUGUUAUAAAAAGGGUUUUUCAAAGUUCUGCGGCUCCUGCUCCUCUGCGCUCCGACGAUCUCCUCUCCAGCAACUCCUUGUGCGUUGGCAAGUUACUCUUGACAGUGACAAAGGAUUUCAAGAACGCGCCUGCAGUUAUGAAAGUUGUUUUUCCCCCGGGUUCUGCGGCUCCUGCUCCUCGGCGAUCCGAAGAUCUCCUCUCCAGCUCCGCUCCAGCAACUCUUUGUUCGUUGGCAAGUUAUUCUUGACUAUGUGCUUUUCCUUGAAUUUCAUUUUUUGACUCCAGUGGCUUGAUCUGUAAUGUACCGACUCAUCUUUCCCUUGAUGUAUUGACAUUCUUAACUUGCAUGUUUCCUGCUGACUGCUGCUACUGUUUG
rnacentral:lncRNA from 1 species